CCCUUCUCCUGGCACACGGCAAUCCAAUCUUUUUUUUUCAUUUCCUUAUCUUCAAAUUUUUUGUACUAUACACACACAACAUGUGUUAACCCACCUUGAAAUUUGAUGUGGGUAAGAAUUCCUUGCCCGUGUUGCUUACUACAGUGCAUUCUUUGGACCUUCUUUAAAUAUUGACUGCAUACAUCGCUUGUACAUGUAGGAUUUCUAUAGGAUUGAGCAGGCAUAUGAGCAACGGGCGAAUGACGUGGCUGGGAAUGCAUGUGUGAAGCUGGUGAAGGACAUGCAUUACGAGUCACGCGUCCAGGCCAUCCUAACGUUCAAUGCGGAGUACAAGCACAAGAAGGCCACCAAGGAGGAAGCAAGAAAUGAAAAACUGACCAAGGAGGAAUACAUGAUGGUAAAUAUAUAACACUAAUACUCAUUGCUUCUGAGUUUAAGGUUCAUUUGGUCUUCUUAAAUGUCAUGUACUUGAUGAUCUGUAGGUUCCUCCAUGGUGGUGCACCAACAAUCCCCAGUGCUAGGAAGUGAUUGUGAACAAGUGGUGCGCCGAGGGUUGGGAGGAGACCCACAACGCUUGCUGUGAGCGAUGCCUGUAGAUGCCAGGUGAAGCACAUCAUCAAGGGAACCUUACCCUCGAGGAGUACAGAAAGAGAUGGGUACAUGCAAGAAUUCAUUGAAUUAUUUUGUUGCUUGCCAUCGUGCCAUUGUCGGCCAUCGUGUCGUUGUUUUGUUGUAGGUUUUGGAACCUCCCAGUGCAUGGGAGGUGCUGCCGAAGUUUUCAUUUGACACUAUUAUUUUGUUACUUUUUUGUAGUCGGCGGCACACAAGGGCCAACCUUGCUCCCAGUUGAAGGCAUGGGCCUUGGCCCACAAGGGGAAGGUGACAUCAGACGUCGACUGGAACCCGGAGGACCCGCCCCAAGCCUACAACAACGCCACUAUCUACAGUCGCAUCAGUUUGUACACUUCGAUGGCAAGGGAGGUAUGUGGUCCAGAAUUCGACCCGUACACCGAGAAGAUUGAUGGAGAAGGUCAUGAGGGCGGGAGGAGGCAAGAAGCAUGGGUGGUACUGGAUUGCCGAUAGCGCAUCAACUCGUCCAAUACUCCUACUCUCAACCAGAUUAGAGCACAAAGCAAGGGCCAAGGCGUGGAGAUACACCCAAGGCCGACCGUUCACCAGCUUUAGAUGGAUGCAAUGCAUGUUCUCGUUGUUUCAUUCGUCGCUUAUUGAUUUAAACAUAACAUAACUUUCUAUUGUAACACAAGUGUUCAAUUUGUAGGCAAGGAUGGACGAAAAGGAUAGGCGCCUACAGGAGUUAGAGGCGAGGGUGGCUGCUGAUGCAAUGAGGUUUAAUCAGAUGGCUUUGUACUUGCAAAGUCUUGGCACUCAGAUGGGUCAACCUCCGUCACCUGACCUCCUAUUUGUUCCACCGCCUCCACCUAGAAGUACUCCAAUUUAGUUGGCGGUUUCAAAUGAUGUGGUGAAUGAGCAAAGUCCUCAAUCCCGUGGGUGGGGCAUCCAUACGAAUGAGCAAACACCUCCAUCCGAUUGGGGCAAUAGGAAUGGUUCCUUUGGUUGGUGAACUUGCAUGAUAAUUGUGGUGAUGAACUUGUGGUUUGGUUAUGAACUUCAUGAUAAACUUGAUGUGGUUGUAUGGUACUUGUGUUGAAGUUGUGGUUUGUGUGACA